AAAAAAGAAUAUUAUUAAGAAUCAAAUUAAGACUUAGCUCAAAUUCUGUGGAAAAAUUUUCAACCCAAAAAUUUAAGUAUUUAGACGGAGGGAGACUGCAUGCAUAUAAGAACAAACUUGUAAACAAGUGAUGUAAAUUUUUUAGACAACUCACGUCAGUUACCUCAACUCAAGAACAUAAACCACAUUAAACUUAAAUUUAACCAAAGUGGUACCAGGAAACUACAUUGGCAAGCCCAAUCACAACCCAGCCAAAUCUCCUUGGCACAUAACAGGCAAUGAUGAAGGGAGACAGCAUGUUCAUGAUCCUCCUAAACCUUAAUAGUCAAUGGAAACAAACAAAACAAUAAACACCUGAUCCAAGGAGUUGAAAUUAUCUCCAAAGUGCGUCGAUCGAUGCUCAUGUCCAUAUUUUGACUCCAUUUAGCUUUCUGCAAAAGAAGGUGGUUGAUGCAAAUAAUCAUAAUGAGGGUCAUAUAAGUUGAUUCAUUAUUGCCCAUUUCCAGAAUGACAGAUUUUCCUAUGAAAAGGUAUCUAUAUCUAUGUUUUGCUCAGACUAUCUUAUGAGGUAGAUGGUGGCUUUCUCACAGGAACAAACAAGGACCAAUGAACUACUUUAGAAGUCAACAAUAGUAAAACAUAAUUCUUACAUAAUCUGCUACAUUUCAAGCACACAAAUUACAGCAUGGUCAUUGAAAUUCUUUAUCCAAUAUCUCGGACCUGGAAGUACUUUUUCCCAUAGAAAGAACGCAAGACGCCAUGUUUCUCAAUAACGAUAAAGAAUUAGAAACUAAAAGUUAUUUAUAACCAACAGUUUGAGGGAGACUGCUGAUUCACUUCAAGAUGGCCCGCUUCCUUCAAUCAUCUAUUCCCUCAAAUAGAUCAUAAAUCGUUCAAAAUCUCCCGAUAAAACAUUGCCAUUAUAUAUAACUUGAAACUGAAAAACACAGGUCAGCAAAAAUCCAACCCCCUACAAAAUUUACAGAAUCCAAAUAUGUUAUCGAAGCAAACCAACAAGUCAAUUAGCCAAGCACAAUCACAACAGUUCGACCCACAUGAUUUCCAAGGUUCACAUUAUGGGUCCGGAACCAAGUUCAAGUUCAAGUUCAAGAUCGACCCUUUGGAAAAAGUGAAGAACUUUCCCACAUGUAGUGGCUCAGUUCACUCUAUCUUCAAAAGGGUCUCGAAGAAAGAUCCCGCAGACGCACUGUAAUCAGGUAUUCACCACAGUAAAAUCGAAAAAUUCAAGAAACCGCGUGGCGGAAAGCGGUGACAACGCCAUCAUCAAGAAUUGACAUGGGGAAAGAGAGAGAAAGAUGUACCCGUUCAUAAGUUGGAGGUAAGCCCAAAGAUUUGCAAGCUAUUCAAGAGCCUCCUUCUCUCGAUCGAAGGUCUCCGGAAGACGCAGAGAGAGUGGCCCUCUUGUCGCUUGACCGAUUUCUUCUGAGUCUUCCUGUUUCUUUCUUUCUUUCUUUCUUUUCGGUUUACUGCUUUCUGAAAAUUACUUCUGGCUUUAGCUGGCUCUGCCCCCACGUUCUCCACGUGUCUACUUGCAAUUAUAGGGACCAUCUGUAAUAAAACCUAGUUACUCUAAUUAGGUGCCAAGAUUUACAAAUUCAUCCUUGAUGAGAUUAUAAAAUUUAGGGAAAAAGCCAUGAAAAACCCUGAACUUUACUCAAAGUGACACAUUUACCCCAAACUUUUGUUUGUGACGUAAAAAUCCAAAACUUUGCCAACCAUGACACAUUUACUCCAAACUUUUUUUUGUGAAACAAAAAUCCUGAACUUUCAUUACGUGAUACAUUUACCCAAAAAUUAGAUGGCAUUUUGGUCUUUUCAUUUUUAAAUUUUUUUUUCUUCUCUCUUCCCUCCGCCGGCUCCGCCAUGGCCGGCGGAGGGAAGAAGAAGAAGAAAAAAAAAGGAAAAAACAGAAUAAAAAGACAAAAAUGCCCUUGAUGGGGUAAAUGUGUCACAAUUUAGAAAGUUUGGGAUUUUUCACGUCAUAAAAAAAAAAGUUUUGGGUAAAUGUGUCACUUUAGGCAAAGUUCAGGGUUUUCAUAGCUUUUUCCCUAAAAUUUACUUACUGUGACUCAAUUAUUGACUUAAAGUAUCCAAUCAAAGGCCACUUCGAUAGAAUCCAGAAAUAGAUGCUGAAAAUUUAAGUAUUGAAAUUUAAACACUGAUAAUCUAGAAUCUUAAUAAUCAAAUAAAAGGUUAUUUAGGGUAUGUCUGUUUUUUUUAAAGAUAUUCCUCCGAAAAUAAUCAUUUGUAUUUUGUGAAAUAAUACUUGUUGUUGAUUAAAAUAUUUGUUAUUCAUAUAUUCUUAUAAACAACGGAAGUCAUCAUUCUAAAAAAAUAUAUUUUUUAAGUUAUUUAUAGAAUAGAGCAUUAAUAACAACUGAAUAUUGAAUAUUCAUUGACAGGGGCUCAAUAAUUGACAAGAUCUUGAUUCCUAUCUGGAUCAAGCUUCUUCUCUAUUGUGUCUGAUUAAGGUAUCUACACAGAAAGGGGCCCAAUUUGUCCUUUCGAUUAUUCCCUUUCCUCUUUGUCUUUUCCAUUUUUGUGUUUUGCUUUUUCAGCUAACUAGAUGCACUUCCUCAGCUGGUAGCCUUCUACAUAAAGAACUAUUUAAUAACCAAUUAAGUGUUCAAAAUAAAUGAAAAUUUGAUGAUUGAGCAUCUUAUAGACUUUAAAGAUUCAAUUAAGGCCCGCUUGAUAAGAUUGAAAUAAUUUAAGGACUUAUUAUAAAUGUUGAUAAUCUUAAGGGUUGAAGAUGGAAAAAUAAAAAUCAAAUAUUGAAUUUGGAUUAAUAUUAUUAUCAAAAAUAGCAUUGUCGGAUCGCCAAGGUCGACCUUUGUCCUUGCUCGACAAGUGGUUCUUGCAGUCGAGCUCCCUUGUGGAAGGGUUGUCACUCAACAAAUAAUGGAUAACAGGCUCAUCUUCCCUAGGCGUUCACUUUGACGGCAAAGUUUGCCAUCUUGAUGUAUGCUCUUCACCACCUGUAGGUAAGUGAAUUAUUAUUAGGUUUUAAACAUGUAACAAUGUCAUCGCAACAUUUUUAAUUCCCAUUUGGCUGCCUUUCUUAUUGAAUGAAUUAUGUAUUCACUUCCUCAUUUGCAAAUCAUGUGACUUUCUGACUUAACUAGAUCAAAGCUAGUUACAAUCAUCAUAAGUGGUUAAUUUAUUGAGUACUAAACAAGAUUAAUCCCCCAUAUUUAAUUAGGCCCUCCGGCAAAAUUUCAUUUAGUAUGGUCCCCGUAUGAUAAAACCUAGCAAGUUUGUCAUUUGUAAGGCCAUGUCAUAGUAGAAAAGCCCUAUGAUUUAUUAAACUUUGGUUAUACGAAGUUUAGAGACCAUAUUAUAUUUUUCUUGGGCUACCUAGAUAUUAGCCACUUAAAAAAGAAUCAUCUUUUACAAUGUUCAUUAAAUGCAACAUCUCUUGCGGUCUAGCAAUGGAGAACACCUUGCGAGUGUGCAUGCUGAUAUACAAUCAAGGACCAGACUUGGUUUCUAUCACAAAAAAUUAUUCAUAUUUCGGGUCCUAAAAAGCACAAGUGACAAGUUUGAUUCUCGCUUCACGGACCUUUCAAGGCCAUGACACAAUUGACCAGUUUGUUUGCCAACCAUCCGCUGCAAACAUGAAAUCUGAUUUAGAACAUCACCCGUUUCCCAUGAAGAAGUGAGUAUCCAUUUCCAAACUACUGGAGUUUGGUUGCAAUUUAAAGUGAAACGCAAAUGGGGUCAUUGCAGUUUACACAAGAACAAAACAGUUGAUAAAUGAUACCGCAAGGUACCGUUUGUGGCUUCACAAUCAAUGCUCAAAUGCGCUCUAGCCACUUGAAAGAUUCAUGAUACUGACUCUUUCUUCUUUAUGCGAGCAGGAGCUCACGUGCUGGGGGACCAAAGGCCCCCUUGACCCUCUAGGAUAACAUCUACAUUCUAAUCCCGGUGUCAUUCAUGCCAAUGAACUCAUCUGAGAUUGUAAGAUUGUAAGCUGAUGCAUUGAAAAAUUGUGUCGUAAUGUGGGUAAGGGUCGUGAUAAAAAUGAAGAAUCCUGGACUCGGUAAGUUUUGCUGUCGGUAUAUAGAUAAUAAAUAGAUGAAGCCACGAGGUUGGAGCAAGAAAGUAUGAUGAAUGAUGUGAGGGGCUGGUGAAGGAUCUAUCUCAAAAACCAUACAUGUAUACUAGAAAAACGUAACGUAUUGUUUGAAUGGUAUAUAUCAGCAUCGUAUAAUAUAACACAAAAAAGGUGACGAAAGGUGAGAUUUAAGUAUCAUAUCUACCAGAACUUGAUUCUGAUUUAGUUUUGAUUGAAUCUCACAAAUCAUGGGAUUGUAGUUGUUAACCCACAAAUCAUAGGAUUGUAGCUUUCCUCCUAUUUAGGCUUUGUUUCCUUUUUGUUUGCUAGGAUUUCUCUAUGCAUUUGCCUACAAAUAUGACACUGUAAAGCUAAAGAAUAUAUGAAUGAUAAUAAGAAUUUCUCUCCAUCUAAAUUUCCACAUGGUAUCAAGGCUGGAGGUUCUGAGUUCAAAUCUUACUUAAUUCAAUUUGCCUCCCCAAUUAAAUUUUCACGUUUAGUAUUAAGCAAAAAGGCCAAGCUAAGCAUGAGGAGAGGAGUGUUAGAAUAUUAAGUUUAAGCUUUUAAAACAGUUGGCCGUAGUCCCAAAAAAUCUCACACUCCCUUCCAUUGCCAACAAAUUGCGGUUAGCUACUUAAAUGUACUCAGAGAUCUCCAUGUUGAUUUGGGUGGACAAGCCAAAUCCUCAAAGAACCAAGAUGAGGGAAAAUUCAAAGUUGUUCCUGGUCUCUAGACAGAAGUAAGGAGAAAGAAAUUUCUUACUCAGAGAGAUGGUAGAUGGAAAGUUGCCACUGAGGUCUUAGUUACUGAUGCCUCCAACAAAAAUAUAGAACAAGGAUUUGGUUGCAUUCAUUACGGGUUAUUGACAAGAAAAGAUAUCACUCAUCUUGUUCAAAGGGUUAACGAAAUGGCCUGUUAGGGGUUUCUGACAGAGUUCUGCUUACCUGUAGCCUCCUCGACUUCAUUUAUGAGUACAACAUACCACUUGCCUACUCUGAUUCCCAGUUGUAGGCCAUGAAAUUGCCACGUGUAUGGUGUUAUUCUUAUCCUCCCAGCUUUUCUAUAAUAUAUGUUUGCAUGUAUCACUAUGGGGUGUAAAGUUAGUAUGCCUCCAUUCACGUACGUAACAUGAAAAGGAUUAGCAACUGGAGUUUUGUAUUGAGACAAGGAGAGACUGGAAAUGUCAAUGUGAGCUUGUCAUGGGCACAUUUGUAGAGUGAACACUGCUCUAGAUGCCAGUUAAGUCAGCUGCGGAGAUUUUUGAAACAAUUCUGAACAUAUCUAUUGUGGUCGACGAGAGGGGAUACACUUCUAUUGCUAGUAUAACUUCUUUUGCGCAAUCUAAUUUUAUCAGUGUAUGUUGCUGGUAUAGCUUCUUUUGCGCAAUCUAAUUUAUCAGUGUCUGUUGCUGGUAUAGCUUCUUUUGUGCAAUCUAAUUUUAUCGGAUGGUGAAUUUGACAAUAAAGGUGAUACCAAUCUUAAAGAUGGUUAGUAAAUGUCCAAAAGAUUCUAAGAAAAUUCAUGGGAAAAAUGUCCUUGCUUAUCAAAUUCUGUUCUUUUUCCUCCGUUGACUUUUAUCCCCUUCGGAUCCAGCAUUUUAGUUUAUCAAUUUUUGUUAGGGUAGAGAGAUGACUCUUAAGUCUCGUCACCUAACGGUUUUUUAGAACUAAAGCACUGUCUGAAAUUAAAUCCGGAAGGAUCUAUGCUUAAAGGGGGAAAAGGCAUUGUGAUUUUCGAGGGAUUGUAGACCCUCCCCACUUUGUAAAUGGCUUUGCAUUCAAGCUCUUCUCCUCAGAUUGGUAUGGCUAUGAAGAAAACCAUAGGAAAUGACAAUAUAGGAUAGGAUCAAAUACGAAAUCUAUCCAUCAUUUGAGAAAAUACAGAAAGUUAGGGCAAAUAUACACAUCUAAUCUAUAAAAAAAAAAAGUUCAAAUCCACGGAGAAGUACAAACACAUCACAAUUUGCUUAGGAGACGCAAUCAAUCAGCAAACAAUUCACAUUCACGACUAAGUUAUCCAUUUUGUAACUUAAAAUCAUCUGCUCAUCUUCCCUUCUGCUGCUAAUACUCUCUUCGAUGGUUACCGCGAGCAAUGGCACAAGUCGAUGAUUUGACAAUCCAAUGCCAAUGCCGGGACUUUCACUAUUGCUCUUGCGAGCAUCGAAGCCCAUGUCACUUAAGUAUACAGUCUCAAACGGGUUGUGAUGGGCUGUCGGCACAAAGCUCUCCACUUUGUAAAUGGCUUUGCAUGUCUGGAAAGAAAUAAGGAGAUGACAUACGUAAGCUUACAUUAUCCAUAGCAAUACAGAUAUUGUCUCUCUCUAUCUCUCUAUCAUGUGAAGGAAUAAUUACUUCCACAUUUAAUUGUAGUUCGUACAUCUUUUCAAGUCUAGUUAGCCUUCGAUGAGAACAUCUCCUGCCCCAUAGAUGCUACUACUGUGGUAUUCUUUCCCGUUUAGGAUGAGGAUAGUCCCACCAUUUGUCAAAGAUAAUUUUGCGGGCAUACUCGUGAUUAGUUAAGUACGUGAGAUUUCUGGGGCAUGAUAAACAGCAAUAUUGUAUAAUAAGCUCAUUGAUUUGCUGAGCCACAGCCAACUUCGACAAAACCAGUGGAUUGAGAGCCGGAAGUUUCUUUGGAAAAUAUAUAGAAGUAACUAACUUUGCAGUAAUACUGGGUACAACCAAUUUUAUGCUUUUAGCUUUCAUUAUCAAGUAAAAUUCUACUCUAUUAGAUUCUAGCCUGAAAGUGAAAGCAAGUUCAGGUGGGAAAUGGUUAUAACAGGUGGAAACGUUAUACUCCACGAAUUGGAGGCCAUAUAAAGAAUGAUGCUAAUUGCUGAAUAGAGAAUGACUCACCAGAUGGGCCACAUCCAAAGGCCAUGUUCUUUGGAUUUGUAAGGCAAAUGGGGCAAACCUUGAAGAACACAAGCAGCUAAGUGCGGAUUUACAUUUAAUGAAGAACGUGAAGUUUCACAAAAUAAAAAAUAAAUAAAAAAUAAAUAAAAAGGUGAUUAAAUGACACUUAUUUUCCCGAAGCUGUUUCCUGAGUUUGUGGAGAACUAUCUGGGAUUGACUUAUCCAAGCUGGUAUGACCAGUGACUCCAGGUGGGGGUGGAAGUGGCCUUAUACGAGGACCAGUCACUGCCUCCCUGCAGUAUAAGCAGAAUUUACAUUAUAGCAGGCCUCAAUGCAAUGUAGAAACAAACAGCUACAGUUCCCAAUCUUACUUGACGUGCGAAAUGCUUUGAGUGGCUCUAUACUGAAGGGGAAUUUCCAUGAGAGCAGCAAGAGCAAAGGCAGUCUCUUUCUUUGAAGUAUCUGUGUUCUCAGACAUGAUUUUUGUGAAGUUGACAAACUGCGUAGUGGAACAAUGAAUAAACAAGAAGGUUAAAAGCAAAAAGAAAAAGAAAAAAAAUGUGGUGGAAUUUAUUGAUUCUAAAAUAACAUUUUAAACUUAAAAUGUGUACUCGGGGCACUAUUUACUACUGUCAGAGAGGAAUAAAUCAGACCAUAUUAUAAAAAAGUUCAAAGAAAGGGGACUUCACAAUAAAAAGUGGCUGGAGAUCCAGAAUUACUCCAUACCAAACCAAAAGCCCUAAUCCAGUCUAAACAUUAUUCAACAGCACAGUAAUCGGCAGUAACUACGCCAUACAUGUCUGAAUAGAAUUUGUACUCAAUAAACACCCCUCAAUACAAACUACUGGAAUAUACAUUUAACAUACUUUAUUUAUUUUUUCUGAAACUUCUUAUUUUGAAUUAUGCAGUUCUCUCGCUAGUCUUAUUAUGUGAACCCCGGCAUUAUUGAUGCAACUAUACUUAUAAAAAGAACUUGGAUAAUUGCAAAAGGAAUCAUCAAUUGUGCUCUCCGUAUCAAACACCCUCCUCACAUUUCAAGACUUACAUUUUGCAUCUCCCCAACCUGAAAAAAAAACUGACUUGCCCUCAUGCAUGCACAUUGCACGAUCCACACCCAAAAAUUAAAACAAAGGUCGUGGAUGGGGUAAUUUGGGAAUGAAAAUGGCCUAAUUUGGAACUUAGCAGAUUAUGUAGCAGAGGAAGAUGCAAUUUAAAACCAAUGGAAAGAAGUCAGGCUGGUAAUCAUAGGUUUUAAAACGUGAGGACGGUACUUGACAGGAGCAAAGUUCAGGAUGGUAUCAGUACUUUUCCCCAAAGAGAUCUUUCAGUACCUGAAAGUUAUCAAAUGCACGAUGAGGGAUAUUAUCAUCAAAUUGCUUCAUUGCAUCCCAUGGUCCAUCUCCCACACCAACAAAUAUGAUGGAGAGAGGAUAUUGGCUGCUCUACCAAAAAGAAACAAACGAAAAGUCAAGGAACGUGGUAAUUGCAAAGUUGGAAUAUGUGGCCUUUCUUCACCAAGCAGGACAGCAACAAAAACAUGCAAUUCCAAAAUUACCUAGCUGCUACUAUGGAGUUUAUAGUUGCCUGUUCUUGUGGGCUGAAUCUCCCAGGAGGUAAUUCAGGACUUCUAGUAACCUAUGAACCAUGGUGAUGGAACAAUAAGCAUGUGGAAAGAACUUGGUGAUAAAGCAAUAAUAAGGAUGUGAUACGCAAAGUAGUGAGAACCUGUCCAUCUGCUAUAAUGACAAGGACAUGAUAUAGCCCGUUGCUCCUAGCCACAAUGUCGAUAGCGGCCUCAAUUAUCGGCGCAAAUGAUGUGGGCCCUAUAAACAACGGUAACAGAAAGCGUUAAAAACUACUGCAUGGAAGUUUCUAUUAUAUGGACCUUCGACUGCAUGAGACAGCCUUAAAGGAUCCAUCAUAAACUCCUGAGGACAAAUUUCCUGUAGGAGACCAACAAAAGAAACAUGAGACAAUAUGAGGACAAUAAACCGUCCAAAAUGGGGAAAAGAAAAACAUAAAGGAUAAGUUCAUUCAUGGGAAAAUAUCGGUUAACAAAAUGGAAGACUAUCAUGGCAAAGUCAUGGCUCUGGAAGGAACUGGCAGUAAGUUGAGUGAAACGGCUAUUUUAUGACCUAAGUUUAAAAUCUAUUCAAAAUAAUAACUUGGUUUACAAGUUGGGAAAGUUUGGCAUGGACGUUUCAAUCUUUAUUUUUUAACCAUGUAGGACCACCUAAACCUCUUGCUCUCCUCUUGGAUUAUUUAUAAUGCUAUGAUUUGGGUCACAUUGACAACAAUACAUGCUAUGAUUUGAUGUCCAUCAAUCCUGCCAUUUAAAGUCUAAUGAAAAUGAAAAGAAAAAUACUAUUGAUUUAGACAAGAUGUUUUCUUAUUCUUCACAAUGAUUGACAACGCUGUACUUUGCCCAAACUUGCAGAUUUGUUUAUUUCAGUUUUAAAAGAAGAUGAAUAGACUGCAAAAUAUUUUGGCCUAAAGUAGGAACCAUCACAUAAGAACGAUCAGUAAAGCAGGAGAAAAACCUGACAACUUUAAGUGUGGGACGAUCUCUCUGUAACGUGCAAGUGCUUCCUCAAAACCAUGACAAUAACGAUGAUCAGAAUAAAAGCUGAAGACAGAUUGAUCAUGUGUUGAUGCUGCAAAAAGCAAUGUGAUGAGAUGAAAGCUUCAAAGGCGAUGAUAAGAAUUCCUACCAAAGCUACAAAUUACCGACAGCACUGACCAUCGCCAAAUCCAAAACAAGGUAUGAGUUCAUCUUCGUCAAGAGGGGACAAUGUUCUGCCGAUUAUAGAAAUUGCUUGCUCAUAUGGAUUAGGUGUGUCACCAAUGGCAUGAAGACUUUUUCUCCCGAAGGAAUAUCUACCUACAAUACGAAAUUCACAUUAAUUUUCCAAUAUAUAGUUUCAUAAAACCUGAAUGCUUUCUUUGUCCAUUGGAAAUAGAAUCACCUGACCACUCGUUGCUCUUUGUGAAAUCAAUACCGAGGAUUAAAUUUGAUGAUUCAAGGCCAGCUUCCCUCAGUGCAGUUGCGACCUAAAAUAUGAGCAUCAAAAAUCCCAUUACUGUUUCAUUUUACAUCUUUACAAUCAAAACCGCCAAAGUAUGACCACCACAGUUUACAUUCCCAUCUAAUUUCACGGCUUUACAAUCAAAACUGCCAAUCAUUAAACAGCGGGUAGAAUAGACAAGAACCAGAGAUAAAAAAGAAUAUUACUAAGGAUCAAAUAAAGACUUAGAUCAAAUUCUGUGGAAGAAUUUUCAACCCAAAAAUUUAAGUACUUAGACAGAGGGAGACUGCAAGCAUAUAAGAACAAACUUGUAAACAAGUGAUGCAAAUUACUUCGACAACUCAUGUUAGUUACCUCAACUCAAGUACAUAAACCGCAUUAAACUUAAAUUUAACCAAAGUGGUACCAGGAAACUACAUUGGCAGACCCAAUCACAAACAGCCAAAUCUCCUUAGCACAUAAAAGGCAAUGAUGAAGGGAGACAGCGUGUUCAUGCUCCUCCUAAACCUUAAUAGUUAAUGGAAACAAACAAAGCAAUAAACACCUGAUCCAAGGAGCUGAAAUUAUCUCCAAAGUGCGUCGAUCGAUGCUCAUGUCCAUAUUUUGAGUCCAUUUAUCUUUCUGCAAAAGAAGGUGGAUGAUGCAAAUAAUCAUCAUGAGGAUCAUAUAAGUUGAUUCAUUAUUGCCCAUUUCCAGAAUGACAGAUUUUCCUAUGAAAAGGUAUCUAUAUUUAUGUUUUACUCAGACCAUCUUAUGAUGUAGAUGGUGGCUUUCUCGCAGGAAUAAACAAAGACCAAUGAACUACUUUAAAAGUCAACAAUAGUAAAUCAUAAUUCUUGCAUAAUCUGCUACAUGUUGAGCAAGCAAAUUACAGCAUGGUCAUUGAAAUUCUUAAUCCGAUAUCUUGGAUCCGUAAGCAUUUCUUUCCCAUAGAAAGAACGCAAGAUGCCAUCUUUCUCAAUAACGAUAAAUAAUUAGCAAACAAAAGUCAUUUGUAACCAACGGUUUAGGGGAGACUGCAGAUUCACUUCAAGAUGGCUCGCUUCCUUCAAUCAUCUAUUCCCUCAAAAUGAUCAUAAAUCGUUCAAAAUCUCCCUCUAAAAUAUCACAUUCCAUGCAACUUGAAACUGAAAAACCCGGGUCAGCAAAAUCCAACCCCCUACAACAUUUACAGAAUCCAAAUCUGUUGUACCCAAUAAGUCCUUAGUCGAAGCAAACCAACCAGUCAACUAGCCGAGCACAAUCACAACAGUUCACCCACAUGAUUUCCAAGGUUCACAUUAUGGGUCCAGAACCAAGUUCAGGUUCAAGAUCGACCCUUAGGAAAAAGUGAAGAACUUUCCCACAUGUAGUGGCUCAGUUCAAUCUAUCUUCAAAAGGGUCUUGAAGAAAGAUCCCGCAGACGCACUGUAAUCAAGAAUUCACCUCAGUAAAAUCGAAAAAUCAAGAAACCGCGUGACGGAAAGCGGUGACAACGCCAUC
rnacentral:lncRNA from 1 species